rnacentral:rRNA from 1 species
GACGAACGCUGGCGGCGUGCUUAACACAUGCCAGUCGAACGGUGAAGGGGCCUGCUUUUGUGGGCCCUGGAUGAGUGGCGAACGGGUGAGUAACACGUGAGUAACCUGCCCCCUUCUUCUGGAUAACCGCAUGAAAGUGUGGCUAAUACGGGAUAUUCUGGGUCUGUCGCAUGCUGGGUCUGGGGAAGAUUGCGCCUUUGGGUGUUGUUGGUGGGGGAUGGGCUCGCGGCCUAUCGGCUUGUUGGUGGGGUGAUGGCCUACCAAGGCGGUGACGCGGAGCCGGCCUGAGAGGGUGGACGGUCACACUGGAGCUGAGGCACGGCCCAGACUCCUACGGGAGGCAGCAGUGGGGAAUAUUGCACAAUGGGCGCAAGCCUGAUGCAGCGACGCCGCGUGAGGGAUGGAGGCCUUCGGGGUGUAAACCUCUUUCGCCAGUGAAGCAGGCCUGCUCCGUGUGGGUGGGUUGACGGUAGCUGGAGAAGAAGCGCCGGCUAACUACGUG